AGAGGUGCUGGGUCUCCCUCGGCCGGCAGCAGAGAGAGGCACACGGCCCCAACACAAACCUGGUGAUAAAUACAGAAUGGACCCGUUCUUAGGGGACACGAAUCCCCUCCACGGUCCUGAUCCCUCAAGAAAUUCUUUCUGUAUCACUUGGCCUAUUCACAUCCUAAUCUUGUCUUUUACUUUGUCCUUCAUGAGAAAACAACCUUUUCCAUUUAUAAAUGAUAAAUGAUAGAUUAAUGUUCACAGAGUUGCUGGGGACGCACAUGGAGACUGUGUUGUUCCACACUGAGAUUACAUGACAUUGUUCCCUCGUGAACUGAAGCAAAGCAAGCAGCCACACUGAGGUGAACAGCGAGGUGAGGAACUGUGCUCAUCAUUUGCUUAUUGUUUAAUUAGAAGAAAAUCUCUAUUCUCAAAAAAAAAAUUGCCUGAAAGAAAGUUUUGGAAUUAGCAAUAAUUUAACAUCCAGUAAAAUGCCCUUCAGUGAAUUCUACCCUUCCAAUGCUGCCUGCUCGCAUGGGACACAUGGACUCCUCCUGUUAACAGGUCCUCAAGAUAAGCCCUCUCCCAGCCCUACCUCGAGGACCAUAAAAUGCCAGUCCUGGAUGCACCCCCUCUGCCACAGCCACCGCUCGGCUCCCAGGGAGUUUGGGGAUCAUUGAAACAGGUCAUUCUGCAUGAGAGAAAUCAACGAAAACAGAGCACCUUGGGAUUCUUAGGGUACAGAUAUCUGAUUAGGGCACUCCUGUUCUAGUAUCAGUGAAAUAGUACAUCUAGAAAAUAGCAACCCAAGCCCACGAAGGAGAGAAAAUUGCCAAGCACACACCAAGGUGGGCGCUGAGCACACGUCUACAGCCGCACGAGGCUUCCAGAGCCCCCAGACGCACUCCGCUUAGAGGGUCCUCUGUCAUUCUGUAUUUGCCCUCCACGAGUGACUGAGCUGUCACAGGACCUGGUGGUGAGCUUUGUCACUUUUUUAUACAGUGGAAGCUCGCAGGGACUUCAGUUAAUCAUUUUUUAAAAGACACUGUUUUGGCUAAAGAAUGUAUAAGAGCGUGGGCUGGGUUGGGGGAAGCAGUAGGAGGGACUUGCUGGAGAAGAAAUACUCACCAGACAGAAAAAAAUAACGUGAAAUGAUCACGUUUCUCUCUUAGCUUCCCAGCUACACUUGCAGAUGAUCAUGAAACAGAAAAGCAGACGGCAGGGCACACUCCUAAGAUGUCAACUACUCGGAAACCAGGAUCUCUGUAGUAUACAGCUGGGGAUUGUUUGAUUUCAGGAAAAUUAAUCCUCAAUGAAGAUGCUGUUCCCCAGUCAGCUCCAGAGAUGUGAACAGAGACGUCUGGCUGCCUGAUACGAGAAGAAGACUAUGCCUUCGCCUCCUCCUUUCCCUCUACUUCCAGUCUGCAGCAUUUUAGUCAUUUCCCAAGGAAAUGAUAACGGCCUUUUUCUGUUAUUUAUCAAGACAAAACAAUCUCCUUAGACUGAGAUUUAAAGUUCACACAAACUUUCCGGAAGGGCCUCAGCCGGUAUAGGUUUUGCCAAGCCUGCAGGCUAGCUCACGCCUGCGCACUCUUCUGUGCAGUUAGAAGCCAGGGUCGUGGAAAUGAAGAGGUAAGAGGUCCUGGGAGUCAACGCAGGCAGCCAGCUUGCGGCUCCGAGCCCUCUGUGCACCGGUCACAGGAACCACUCAGAGCCGAGAUGAGGGAAAGACAACGGUGCUUCUAGAUCUCAUGAUGAAAAGAACACGCUGGCUGCUUGCAUUUUCACAUACGGAAUGCGAAUUCAAAGGAGAACAGACAAAGCCGCGUGGCAGCAGAGCCCGCGAUUGCACAGGACUGGCCUGUGCUUUCUUUUAGGGGGUCGUUCUACUCCAGGCUGCCCAUGGAGCCCCACCUCGGAAGCAGGCCUGAAUCCCUCAGCCCUUCAGGGGCGUCUACUUGGGAGACUUAACAGAAACGCUACGGUGGCAUUUUGACUGUAUAGCAACAGAAAACCAGUAGUAACGAUAGAGGUUUCAACAUGUUUUUCUCCACGGGGAAGACAGCAACAGGCUCUGUCACCCUCCCCUCUCACAGCAAGAGGCUAAAAAGCGGCCCUCGCCUCGCCUGGGGAGGAGCCGCUCUGCCUGGCGCGGGAACGGUUCUGCUGUGACCACACCACAAACCUCAGCCACAGGGUGGGGUGCGAUGUUUGGUCAAGGUGGAAGGUCAAUCAAAACCCAGGGCUUUGCCCAAAUCUUUUCUGUCAGUCACACACCAGAGCUGCACACCCAGAAACACAGAGGUGAACUGCCCAUCAAAUCAGACCGUGAGAAACAGGAACCUAAUGCCAGACCACAGAACGAAAUCUCCCUCGCAUUUCCCCCCAGAAGAUGCUGAUGGAUAUUCUCUUAAAGGCAGAAUGCGAACUAAAAAGACAGGAGUAUUUUCCAGGAUCACAGAAUUUUAUAACUGAAAGCUCUUUGAGUUCAGCCCUGUCUUUCAUUUCAGUGAAGGGGAAAUCCUGAACUAAAGAAAGAUGUGUCCAGUUUUAAAGGCAUCUCUCUCAGGAUCUGAGAAGUCAAAUUACAGUUUUACAUGAGGCUUCGACAGAAGCUGGGUCAUCUGCGUCUUUCCCUGGCCGAAUAACAGAGGAAAACAAUAUUAUGAUGGAAACUGCUCAGUGAGUGGCAGCCCUGGCCGACACUGCCGUCGGCUCACACAGUCACGCUCCCUCAUCCUCACGAUCACAGGGUCGCCCUAUGCUUCUAAACACUGCAGUGUGGAUGAAAUCGCCCAGAUAUCUGAAGCAUGUCCCAUACAGUUAGGGUUCAAAAUGACUCUAUUUUGAACUAAACACUAAAAAACUUCCCUCAUGUUGGAAUCAAGUUACGCGCUGGCUUUUCCAAUUUCGGAUCCAAGUCUGCUUUUGAAGCGACAACCAUUAAUCAUCACAGAAGAGAAUCCCCCUGUGCCUCAGUUUACAGCAACUUAAAACUGACCUUCUUAACGCUACAGCUCUCACUUGGAAAUCAGCAUUCAGGCAAAAGGAAUCCAGCAUCUGUGCCGUCUACCCAGUAGAGAGUAAAGCAAGCAUGAUGGAAACAUGGUUCAGCUCAAGAUCUGUCUGAAAAUAUGAGUUUCAGAAAACGUCGCUGAAGAAUUCUAUCUCAAAUGACCCCAAACGGCCGCUGAAGUCCGAGGAAGCGCCUCUCCAGCAAGACAAGGAGCAAGACUUCCCUGACACAGGAAGGACCGCUGGUAUUGAAGGGGACAAGACGCACAUUGACAGGUCAAAUCCCUACAUCAGAUCUUAUUGAUGGGUAUUUUGUAACAAAACGUUGCUUAUACUCCAGGGAGCUCCACCUUUCAUUCUGUUUCUUCUAAGCAAUCAGAAGCUCCACUGGAAUUCUGCAUUUCUGUUCUUCACUAAGAACAGACUUUUUAGUAUCCAGAAUACAGCAGUUAACACCUUUGAGAAGCACAUUUUCAGGAGGGAGGAAAAGGCUAAUGUAUAUUAGAGAGUGAAGGGGUCAUGCAAUUUCUUCAAAGUAGCUGAAAUUUUCAGAAAAAAAAAUUGUGGUGUAAGGUAACCUGUUGAAAAUCUUUCUGCACACUUUGCAGAAGUUAGAGAAGUCUUCUUUAACCACACAGCAGGGAGCAAGAUGAAGGUCUGGUAAGUAAUGGUCGCCUUCCCCCACCCUCCAAGCCAGGUGGCCCAGACUCUGCUCCGAAGGCUCAGGCAAUCCCUGACAAUACUAAAAACUCCUUUUGAGAUUUUUCCAUCAGAUGAAUCCAACUGACUGGCCAAAGACACCUGAUUUAUUGUGUAAUUGUGCUUUUGAAUACCAGGCCAAAGAAGAAAGGCAGGAUGGUUAUCAGCACCAGCCGCAUGCCACCAUCUCUUACAUUUCUCUUCGCAUCAAAGGACAAUUUAGGCUUUGUGCGCUGUUGUUGUUAGUCUAGACACGGUUUUCUUAUACAUAUACACGAAAACAUCCCGCAUCAACAUUAAAAUCACAUACAAUUUGCUGAAA